rnacentral:rRNA from 1 species
CGGCGGAACACGUGAAAUUCCGUCGGAAUCCGGGAGGACCAUCUCCCAAGGCUAAAUACUCCCUAGUGACCGAUAGUGAACCAGUACCGUGAGGGAAAGGUGAAAAGCACCCCGGAAGGGGAGUGAAACAGUUCCUGAAACCGUGUGCCUACAAGUAGUUAGAGCCCGUUAAUGGGUGAUAGCGUGCCUUUUGUAGAAUGAACCGGCGAGUUACGAUUUGUUGCAAGGUUAAGCGGAAAAAGCGGAGCCGUAGCGAAAGCGAGUCUGAAUAGGGCGCAUAAGUAACAGGUCGUAGACCCGAAACCAGGUGAUCUACCCAUGUCCAGGAUGAAGGUAAGGUAAUACUUACUGGAGGUCCGAACCCACGCACGUUGAAAAGUGCGGGGAUGAGGUGUGGGUAGCGGAGAAAUUCCAAUCGAACUUGGAGAUAGCUGGUUCUCUCCGAAAUAGCUUUAGGGCUAGCCUCGAGGUAAAGAGUCAUGGAGGUAGAGCACUGUUUGGACUAGGGGCCCUUCUCGGGUUACCGAAUUCAGAUAAACUCCGAAUGCCAUGUACUUAUACUCGGGAGUCAGACUGCGAGUGAUAAGAUCCGUAGUCGAAAGGGAAACAGCCCAGACCACCAGUUAAGGUCCCCAAAUAUAUGUUAAGUGGAAAAGGAUGUGGGGUUGCUUAGACAACCAGGAUGUUGGCUUAGAAGCAGCCACCAUUGAAAGAGUGCGUAAUAGCUCACUGGUCGAGUGACCCCGCGCCGAAAAUGUACCGGGGCUAAACAUAUUACCGAAACUGUGGAUGAACCUCUUUAGAGGUUCGUGGUAGGAGAGCGUUCUAAGGGCGGUGAAGUCAGACCGGAAGGACUGGUGGAGCGCUUAGAAGUGAGAAUGCCGGUAUGAGUAGCGAAAGAAGGGUGAGAAUCCCUUCCACCGAAUAUCUAAGGUUUCCUGAGGAAGGCUCGUCCGCUCAGGGUUAGUCGGGACCUAAGCCGAGGCCGAUAGGCGUAGGCGAUGGACAACAGGUAGAGAUUCCUGUACCAGUGCUAAUUGUUUAACCGAUGGGGUGACACAGAAGGAUAGGGAAUCGCACGAAUGGAAAUGUGCGUCCAAGCAGUGAGUGUGAGAAGUAGGCAAAUCCGCUUCUCGCGAAGCAUGAGCUGUGAUGGGGAAGGAAAUUAAGUACGGAAGUUCCUGAUUUCACGCUGUCAAGAAAAGCCUCUAGGAAGAGUAGUACUGCCCGUACCGCAAACCGACACAGGUAGAUGAGGAGAGAAUCCUAAGGUGAGCGAGAGAACUCUCGUUAAGGAACUCGGCAAAAUGACCCCGUAACUUCGGGAGAAGGGGUGCUCUAUUAGGGUGCAAGCCCGAGAGAGCCGCAGUGAAUAGGCCCAGGCGACUGUUUAGCAAAAACACAGGUCUCUGCAAAACCGUAAGGUGACGUAUAGGGGCUGACGCCUGCCCGGUGCUGGAAGGUUAAGAGGAGUGCUUAGCUUCGGCGAAGGUACGAAUUGAAGCCCCAGUAAACGGCGGCCGUAACUAUAACGGUCCUAAGGUAGCGAAAUUCCUUGUCGGGUAAGUUCCGACCCGCACGAAAGGCGCAACGAUCUGGGCACUGUCUCAACGAGAGACUCGGUGAAAUUAUAGUACCUGUGAAGAUGCAGGUUACCCGCGACAGGACGGAAAGACCCCGUGGAGCUUUACUGCAACCUGAUAUGGAAUGUUUGUACCGCUUGUACAGGAUAGGUAGGAGCCGAAGAGACGUGUGCGCUAGCAUACGAGGAGGCAAUGGUGGGAUACUACCCUGGCUGUAUGACCAUUCUAACCCGCCACGCUUAGCGCGUGGGGAGACAGUGUCAGGUGGGCAGUUUGACUGGGGCGGUCGCCUCCUAAAGAGUAACGGAGGCGCCCAAAGGUUCCCUCAGAAUGGAUGGAAAUCAUUCGCAGAGUGUAAAGGCACAAGGGAGCUUGACUGCGAGACUGACAAGUCGAGCAGGGACGAAAGUCGGGCUUAGUGAUCCGGUGGUUCCGCAUGGAAGGGCCAUCGCUCAACGGAUAAAAGCUACCCCGGGGAUAACAGGCUUAUCUCCCCCAAGAGUCCACAUCGACGGGGAGGUUUGGCACCUCGAUGUCGGCUCGUCGCAUCCUGGGGCUGUAGUCGGUCCCAAGGGUUGGGCUGUUCGCCCAUUAAAGCGGCACGCGAGCUGGGUUCAGAACGUCGUGAGACAGUUCGGUCCCUAUCCGUCGCGGGCGCAGGAAAUUUGAGAGGAGCUGUCCUUAGUACGAGAGGACCGGGAUGGACACACCGCUGGUGUACCAGUUGUUCCGCCAGGAGCAUCGCUGGGUAGCUAUGUGUGGCAGGGAUAAACGCUGAAAGCAUCUAAGCGUGAAGCCCCCCUCAAGAUGAGAUUUCCCAUUUCUUCGGAAAGUAAGAUCCCUGAAAGAUGAUCAGGUAGAUAGGUUUGGAGUGGAAGUGUAGCGAUACAUGGAGCGGACAAAUACUAAUCGAUCGAGGACUUAACCAA